rnacentral:rRNA from 1 species
UUUAUUUGCGCAGCAUAGGUGGGAGGCAUUGAGUUUAUUCUUGCGGGAAUUUAGGAGCCAUCAGUGAGAUACCACUCUGGUAAUGUUAGAUUUCUAACUUUGUAUCAUGAUCUGGUCAAAGAACAGUUUCAGGCGGGCAGUUUGACCGGGGCGGUCGCCUCCCAAAUGGUAACGGAGGCGUACAAAGGUUUCCUCUGAACGUGUAGAAAUCGUAUCUAGAGUGUAAAGGCAUAAGGAAGCUUGACUGUGAGACCUACAAGUCGAGCAGGGACGAAAGUCGGUCUUAGUGAUCUGACGGUGCUGAGUGGAAAGGCCGUCACUCAACGGAUAAAAGUUACUCUAGGGAUAACAGGCUGAA